AAAUUGAAGAGUUUGAUCAUGGCUCAGAUUGAACGCUGGUGGCAGGCCUAACACAUGCAAGUCGAACGGUAACAGGAAGCAGCUUGCUGCUUUGCUGACGAGUGGCGGACGGGUGAGUAAUGUCUGGGAAACUGCCUGAUGGAGGGGGAUAACUACUGGAAACGGUGGCUAAUACCGCAUAACGUCGCAAGACCAAAGAGGGGGACCUUCGGGCCUCUUGCCAUCAGAUGUGCCCAGAUGGGAUUAGCUUGUUGGUGAGGUAACGGCUCACCAAGGCGACGAUCCCUAGCUGGUCUGAGAGGAUGACCAGCCACACUGGAACUGAGACACGGUCCAGACUCCUACGGGAGGCAGCAGUGGGGAAUAUUGCACAAUGGGCGCAAGCCUGAUGCAGCCAUGCCGCGUGUAUGAAGAAGGCCUUCGGGUUGUAAAGUACUUUCAGCGGGGAGGAAGGUGUUGUGGUUAAUAACCGCAGCAAUUGACGUUACCCGCAGAAGAAGCACCGGCUAACUCCGUGCCAGCAGCCGCGGUAAUACGGAGGGUGCAAGCGUUAAUCGGAAUUACUGGGCGUAAAGCGCACGCAGGCGGUCUGUCAAGUCGGAUGUGAAAUCCCCGGGCUCAACCUGGGAACUGCAUUCGAAACUGGCAGGCUUGAGUCUUGUAGAGGGGGGUAGAAUUCCAGGUGUAGCGGUGAAAUGCGUAGAGAUCUGGAGGAAUACCGGUGGCGAAGGCGGCCCCCUGGACAAAGACUGACGCUCAGGUGCGAAAGCGUGGGGAGCAAACAGGAUUAGAUACCCUGGUAGUCCACGCCGUAAACGAUGUCUACUUGGAGGUUGUGCCCUUGAGGCGUGGCUUCCGGAGCUAACGCGUUAAGUAGACCGCCUGGGGAGUACGGCCGCAAGGUUAAAACUCAAAUGAAUUGACGGGGGCCCGCACAAGCGGUGGAGCAUGUGGUUUAAUUCGAUGCAACGCGAAGAACCUUACCUGGUCUUGACAUCCACAGAACUUUCCAGAGAUGGAUUGGUGCCUUCGGGAACUGUGAGACAGGUGCUGCAUGGCUGUCGUCAGCUCGUGUUGUGAAAUGUUGGGUUAAGUCCCGCAACGAGCGCAACCCUUAUCCUUUGUUGCCAGCGGUCCGGCCGGGAACUCAAAGGAGACUGCCAGUGAUAAACUGGAGGAAGGUGGGGAUGACGUCAAGUCAUCAUGGCCCUUACGACCAGGGCUACACACGUGCUACAAUGGCGCAUACAAAGAGAAGCGACCUCGCGAGAGCAAGCGGACCUCAUAAAGUGCGUCGUAGUCCGGAUUGGAGUCUGCAACUCGACUCCAUGAAGUCGGAAUCGCUAGUAAUCGUGGAUCAGAAUGCCACGGUGAAUACGUUCCCGGGCCUUGUACACACCGCCCGUCACACCAUGGGAGUGGGUUGCAAAAGAAGUAGGUAGCUUAACCUUCGGGAGGGCGCUUACCACUUUGUGAUUCAUGACUGGGGUGAAGUCGUAACAAGGUAACCGUAGGGGAACCUGCGGUUGGAUCACCUCCUUACCUUAAAGAA
rnacentral:rRNA from 1 species